UACGUAGGGUGCAAGCGUUAUCCGGAUUUACUGGGCGUAAAGCGUAUCGUCGGCGGGUUGGUAAGUGACGUGUUCAAGCCUGGGGCCUAACCCCAGAAAGGCCCGUCAGACUGCCAGUCUUGAGGGUAUUGGAGGGAACUGGAACUUUCGGUGGAGGGGUGAAAUCCGUAGAUAUCGAAAGGAACGCCAAGGGUGAAGACAGGUUCCUACGGUACUCCUGACGCUCAUGAACGACAGCUAGGGUAGCAAAAGGG
rnacentral:rRNA from 1 species